rnacentral:lncRNA from 1 species
CUCAUUACUGAUAAAGAUCUGAAUAAAGAGGAAGUAACUAAAGCAGACAGAUGUAGAGACAGAGAGAUUCACACAGAGAUCAUUCAGCAGAAAGAAGACUGUACUCAAGUCACAAUGAAGAUCCUCCUCAUCUUCUUCACUUUCUACCUGAUCUCAGCUGCAGAAAAAGACAUUGAUGUCACUGGAUAUUCUGGAGGAAGUGUUCUUGUUGAUUCUGGGGAACUUUGGUUCAGUGACUCUGUUAAAUAUAUGGCCAAAUUACCUGAGUGGAGAACAAUAAUAAAUGAUAAGAAACACAACGAAUGGAUAAAUGAUGGAAAAUUCACAUUGUUUCAAAACAAAGAGGGAAACCUCAUGAUCUACAUCAGAGAUUUGAACGACCGUGAUGCUGGAGAAUACUGGAUUGGUGUUCUUUACAAGUGGGGUAUAGAUAUGACUUUACAUGUGGAAAACGAUUUAUAUGGUAAAGUGACAAAGGGAGUGAUGGUGAAUAUUGGAGAAACUGCCAAUUUCAGUUGUGAAUAUACACAAAAUCAUAUUAAUGAUGUCAAGAUCAUACUCAAAGAAGGAAAAGACUCAAUUGAGACGAUUUACAGCAGAUGGAAGACGAAAGAAAGAUAUAGUAUUUCUGAUGACAAACAAAAAAAUGUCUUCCAUAUGAAGAUUUUUGCUGUGACACCAGAUGAUGGAGGAGUUUAUUUAUGUGGAGUUUGGAUCAACAGACACCCGUACAGUUACUACAUUAUUACUACUGUUGACCUGCACGUUAGUAUGCCUCCAGUAGUGAGACGUGAAGGAGAAUCUGCUGAGAUCUUCUGUCCUUAUGAUUCAAUCUAUAAAUCAAAGCCAAAGUCUCUCUGUAAGGGGAAGUGCUCCACUAGAGACAGAAAUCCUCUCAGUGAGACCGUGAGAGAAGAGAAAGAGACCAAGACUGACAGAUUGACUCUGAAAGAUGACGUCACUGCAAGUGUCUUCACUGGGAGCAUCACUGCUCUGACAGCAGAGGAUGCUGGGAAAUACUGGUGUGCAGUGACAUUAGAAACAGAGCUCAAUUAUCUUCACACUCAUGGUCAUCAUGAACGAGGGUGA